rnacentral:rRNA from 1 species
AACGAACGCUGGCGGCAUGCCUAACACAUGCAAGUCGAACGAGACCUUCGGGUCUAGUGGCGCACGGGUGCGUAACGCGUGGGAACCUGCCCUUAGGUUCGGAAUAACUCCCCGAAAGGGGUGCUAAUACCGGAUAAUGUCUUCGGACCAAAGAUUUAUCGCCUUUGGAUGGGCCCGCGUUGGAUUAGCUAGUUGGUAGGGUAAAAGCCUACCAAGGCGACGAUUCAUAGCUGGUCUGAGAGGAUGAUCAGCCACACUGGGACUGAGACACGGCCCAGACUCCUACGGGAGGCAGCAGUGGGGAAUAUUGGACAAUGGGCGGAGGCCUGAUCCAGCAAUGCCGCGUGAGUGAUGAAGGCCUUAGGGUUGUAAAGCUCUUUUACCCGGGAUGAUAAUGACAGUACCGGGAGAAUAAGCUCCGGCUAACUCCGUG